rnacentral:rRNA from 1 species
UACGUAGGGGGCAAGCGUUGUCCGGAUUUAUUGGGCGUAAAGAGCGUGUAGGCGGCUUUACAGGUCCGUUGUGAAAACUCGAGGCUCAACCUCGAGACGCCGGUGGAAACCGUAAAGCUAGAGUCCGGAAGAGGAGAGUGGAAUUCCUGGUGUAGCGGUGAAAUGCGCAGAUAUCGGGAGGAACACCAGUAGCGAAGGCGGCUCGCUGGGCCACACCUGACGCUGAGACGCGAAAGCUAGGGGAGCGAACAGG